rnacentral:rRNA from 1 species
CCUACGGGUGGCAGCAGUCGAGAAUCAUUCACAAUGGGGGAAACCCUGAUGGUGCGACGCCGCGUGGGGGAAUGAAGGUCUUCGGAUUGUAAACCCCUGUCAUGUGGGAGCAAAUUAAAAAGAUAGUACCACAAGAGGAAGAGACGGCUAACUCUGUGCCAGCAGCCGCGGUAAUACAGAGGUCUCAAGCGUUGUUCGGAAUCACUGGGCGUAAGGCGUGCGUAGGCUGUUUCGUAAGUCGUGUGUGAAAGGCGCGGGCUCAACCCGCGGACGGCACAUGAUACUGCGAGACUAGAGUAAUGGAGGGGGAACCGGAAUUCUCGGGGUAGCAGUGAAAUGCGUAGAUAUCGAGAGGAACACUCGUGGCGAAGGCGGGUUCCUGGACAUUAACUGACGCGGAGGCACGAAGGCCAGGGGAGCGAAAGGGAUUAGAUACCCCUGUAGUC